AAUAUUUUACUUUAGAAACCCAAAAAUGCAAGCCUGCGUCAACUAAUAAUUAGGCAGUAUGCAGUUCAGAUAUAUUAGUUCUGUAUGACACUGCUGAAUGAGUCAAAACGAAUGCUUAAUAGGGAUGCUAACAGCGCGCGAAAAGUCGCCUUUCGAUUUUAGAGUCGACUUGGAAUUUUAUGACUCUUAAAGUCGAUUAAUCAUAGCUAAAAGUCGACUUUUUUAAAAAUUAUACAAUUAUAUUUCCGUCAUUUAUGUUAUACUUGUACUAUGCUUAUUUAAAACGGUUACCAAGGAUACCAGCGAUGAUGUUUAUUUUUGUCAAAUCAGAAAAAGGCGACAAAACGGCUGACGAAGACGACACGGAAGAGGUCGACGACGCCAUCCAGUUGCUAAGGGAGGUGGCCAUAAAUAUUAAACAAACUUAGAUGUGUGCAGAUAAAUCUGCAGCACUCCAAGAGCCCUGGGUGAAGGACGCCGCGAUCAAAGGGCUAAAUAGCAGAAACAUCUAUUACAAGAAAAAUGAAGCACAGCAAAUAAAACGAUGCUAUGGGCGGAGAUGGAAGCAGGUAACUUCUUUCCAGUGUCAUCAUACAUGGCGUACGACAGGGACGUGCCACCUGUACCUCUAGUAAAACAGAGGAAAACAUAAGAGAGGAUAUACAAAAUAAUAGAGUGACGCCGACAUACCAUGUGGGGAAACACAAACACCAGGGCUGAGUCACUACAGCAAUAUAUUUUAAAUAGUAAUCUAAGUAUAAGUAAUAGGGGCGAUGAGCCCACCUUCAUUUUCCCAAGUUUGGAAAAUUUUUCGGGUUGAGAGGAAGUCUUGGAUCUCACGCUAUAAACAGAAACAAAUAGCCUGGUCGUCGAUGACUGGAGGGUGUCAGAGGAGCCAUCUAUGUCGAAUCAUUCCUGGAUACUCUUCCUCUUCGCGACAAAUCCAAUACUCUCCUCGAAUAUCGAAAGGAAAACAAUAUGGGAUACAUUUAUCAAGAUAGCAACAAAAACCUUAGAAACAAGUAGGUUUAGAAUAAAAUUAGUAAUUCUCAAGAAAUAGAUGCGGAACGGUGACCUUAAAACUCUAAGAACUCAAUUGAGAAAAGCCUUCAAUGAGAGUUAUGUGACCAAAUUCUGGCAAUCGUAUAUUGAAGCAAUAUAAAAAACGGUCGAGAAAGAAAAAACCGACUCUUGGCAGUCUUUCUGCAAAUCGAUAAAAAGAUGCAAAGAUCUAGCUAGACUGAGUAAGAUACUGUAUAAGGAAUGCAACAAUAUACCAAGUGUACUGUGUUUGGUGGGUUCAGAAGGAUGCGGUUAUCAUGAGUUUCUAAAACCUCGUGAAACUGUUAAUACUAAUCAUUACAGACAACAAAUGAUCAAUUUGAACCAUGCAUUGAUCGAAAAACGACCAAAAUGGGCCAGAGGACGCGGCAAAGUAAUUUUGUUACACGUCAAUUCACUUGCACACAAAGCAAAAUCAGCCCUGCUGACCUUGUCGACUCCAACGAUUAAUUCCAGGACGGCUUUGAGCUCUUUAGCAGGUUAAGUAGAUUUAUUCAUAAUUUGGGUUUCCGGUCAAAGGAAAGGCAGACGAGUUAACACCAUUCCCGCUGGGAAUGAUCAAAAGAGAACUUUAUAUGCAUUUUGUAUAAAUAACUCAGAGCAGAUGGAAAUCAAUAACAAGCUGCAAGAUAACAAAGCAGAUUUGGCCCUAGUAUGAAAAGAGCAGAACCAAGGACUUUAUAAAUAGAUCAAGAAAUAGUGUAUACAGACAUACAGCCACUUUAACAGGUCACUGGCCCUUUGGAGAGCAUGCGCUAAAAAUGGGCCUGCCUUAUAACAAUAUUUGCCCCAAUUGCAAGCUAGAAGGGAAUAAGGAAACUAUUUUCCAAUUCUGUGAAUGCCCAGCUCUGUCACAAACACGACACAAAACACUUAGAACCCAUAAAAGGUAUAACGAAUAUAAGAAGUUGCAUUGAGAGUACUAAAUGGUUUGAGUGCAACGAAGGGAAUAAGGAAACUAUUUUCCAAUUUUGUGAAUGCCCAGCUCUGUCACAAACACUACUCAAAACACUUAGAACCCAUAGACACCAAACCUUGAAUGGUUGUCCACAAAAGGUAUAACGGAUAAAAGUAGUUUCAUUGAGAGUACUAAAUGGUUUGAGUGCAACGAUGAAACGGGAUAGAAAAGUAUCAGUUCCUACGAAAGUGCAUCAAAAUUUCGCAUUCAACACUAUUUGGCCCAUGUGGGCAGCACUCUUACCUACCUAACUACCUACCUAUAUAACCUUUAAGAUAUUUGUUAAAACUUGACAUUUUGUUAUGAACCGAGGAAAGCACUACACAGCGGCAGAGCUUAAGCUUAUAAAAAGUUUUCAAUAUAAAAAAAACUCAAAAAAUUUGUGUUUACUGCUCUAAAACCUCAAAAAAAUGAGAAUUGGGGGAACGGCCACGAAAAACGACGUCUCAGGAUGACAAUUACAUAGACAAUGUUGACAAGAAAGACAGCGGAACAAUCGAAUUGUUUUUGCUUCAGCGCAUAUCAAUUGGACCGAUGAAGAAAACGAAAAAAAGUGGCAUAAAAUCCUUUAGUCCGAAUCUAAAAUAAAUAUGGUAGGUAGCGAUAGAAAAAAUUGGGUUUGAAGAAUGCUGAAAUGAAGGGUGUGUUCGAGAUGCCAAUCACUUGCAACAGCAUCACGUUCUACUGUCACUUUCUGCACGCAAUUUAUGCAAAUAAUCGGCAAGACUAAAUUGUUGUCUGCACAUCAGCAGAGUAUCAACAAAUAUGCAACACAGUAGCUGUACUGCAGCAAUUAUUACGUAGCUCGAACGCACCCGAAUUCCCGAUACACGACAAAAACUUUCAAACAGAGAUGGUAAUAUCAUGAUAUGGGGAUGUUUUUCGUCCUACGGAGUUGGACCGCUGUCUUGGGUUUGUGAAAUAAUGAACCGUUACCACUAUCUUAGAAUUUUAGAAGAUGAUGUAAUGCUUCCUCAUGCUAAAUGGAACCUGCCUUUAGUUUGGCAUGUCAAUAACCCGAAGCAUACCUCGAGUGUGGUCAACACUUGACAAUAGGAUCAAGGAAUCGAUGUUAUGACUUGGCCAGCGCAAUCUCCUAAAUUAAAUGCUAUGGAAAACCUGUGGAAGUUUGUAAAGGAAAAGUUGGGACCCACGAUGGAAAGAGGAGCCAUGGGAAAUAGUCUAAGAGGUGUUGUAUUCAAUACUGAAUUCAGCCUGUAAAGCGCUAGUGGAAUCUAUGCCGUACCCGCAAAUAAAGGUUUUGCAACAAAAUUCUAACUUA